UGAAAACCAGGCUGUAGAUCCUUUUUCCAUGUUAUGAAAAAGGCACACAGACAGAACUACUUACUUUCAUCUCUGUUAUAGAUGCCUCUUAACCAACACUUUCAGCCAUUGAUACUUAAUUCCUAUCUUCCUAAGAUUGUUAUAUUUUGGGGUUGUGUGGCAUGGCACUACUAGACUGCUGUUAAAAGAAAAGUCCUGUCAAUCUGUUUACUGCUGCUUGGAGUUGAAACGGUUUGAUCAAACAUUAACCUGAACUA
rnacentral:misc_RNA from 1 species